rnacentral:lncRNA from 1 species
AGCAAUAUCGGCGUUUUUAUAAAAACGACACAAAAAAAAUUUACUUAAAAAAAAUAGUGCCCUUUUAGCAUAGCAAAAUAGUGUCGUUUUAUUUUAAAUGAAAUAAUUUUUUUGCAUAGCGGCGUUUUUAUUAAAAACGCCACAAAAAAUAAUUUCACUUUAAAAAAACAGGUGCCAUUUUAUAAAAUUCUCUCCCAACUUUCCCCCCAAAAUCCCUAAUUUCCCACGUCCAAGAAAAAAACCCAAAAGCUUAUUAACUCUGUGUUUUUUCCUUUCUCUCUUUCUCUUUCUUGUGUUCCUGUUCUUGCUUUUGGUAGUCUAAUUAUUGGUUUUCCUCUUUUUCUUUUGUAUUUUUUUUCAAACGCCAUUUUUCAAAUCUUUUCCUUUGAAUUUCUGAUCCAUUCAGAGUGCUGAAAAAUAUUCAGGUACUUCGAUAUUUUUCAAUUUCGCAUUUUAUUUCCUCCAAUCUUUAAAUUUAGUUCCAAUUUAUCGUCAUUUAUUUGCUGAAUUAACUUGUAAAAUAAUUGUUAGCACCUAGGGUUUUUUAUUUUUUAUGUAGGGUUGUUUUUAAUUUUAGUUGGAGAAUAUAUUGUGGUUUGAUUGUUUGUUAGGUUUUGAUAUUCAUAGGGUUUUUAAUUCGUAUUUCUAGCUUAAGUAAGGACCUCAUUUCUUCUGCCUCAAAUUAAUUAAAUUCAAUGGUUAGUAUUUGUAAUAUUUAAUGUAAUGUAAAAUUUUUGGCAUGUUAUUAAUUGUAAAAUAUUUUGUAUUUGGGGGUUUUUCAUUGUUACUGCAAUUAUAUAAUUGGUUUUGAUGCAGAACAUAUAUGUUUCAGCAAGUAAAUAUUUAGGGAUGGGGUUUACAAGGAGCUACGACAGGCAUGGAGGAUGCCAAAGAGCAAAUUGUACAGGAGUCCAAAAAUUCGACGCUACCAUCUCAAGAUGAGGUUGUGUUCUUAUCUUGGUUCAUUGUGGAAUAUUUGAUUGGUUAAAGAUCUUAGCUACAUACAGGAUUAAAAUUUUAUUCUCUGGAGCUCUAUAGUUGCUUUUGAUUUACUUAUUUCAUUUUAUGCUAAUACUUGU